rnacentral:snRNA from 1 species
GGAUGUGAGAGUGAUCUGGCUGCGACAUCUGUCACUCCAUUGAUUGUCAGGGUUAAUUCAGCUGAUCAGGCUGGCUAGGUGGGUGUCUUCUUCCUCCCUCACCGCUCCAUGUGCAUCCCUCCCAAAGCUGCACGCUUGGUGGAGGAGAACGACAUCCCAGGUGUAGAGCGAGUGUACCAAGGGUCUCCAGUCUGCGGUCCCGGGUAUACUAUAGCUGUGCUCCUCUGCUAGAACCUCCAAACAAGCUCAAAUCACUGUAGAUAGCAUUCAAACAGCAACCAUUAUAAUGUGUUU